UACGUAGGGUGCAAGCGUUGUCCGGAAUUAUUGGGCGUAAAGAGCUCGUAGGCGGUCUGUCGCGUCUGCUGUGAAAACUCGGGGCUUAACCCCGGGCCUGCAGUGGGUACGGGCAGACUAGAGUGGCGGUAGGGGAGACUGGAAUUCCUGGUGAUAGCGGUGAAAUGACGCAGAUAUCAGGAGGGAACACCGGUGGCGAAGGCGGGUCUCUGGGCCGGUAACUG
rnacentral:rRNA from 1 species